GAUUUUUUUUUUCUUUUUAAAAAGUUGUUAUUCUCUUGUCUGUGGGCCUCUCAUAGUGGACCCAUGCCAGAGGAAGUUGCAGCCUCAAACCAUUGCCCAGCCUCCUUACCCUUGGGCUGUGAGCACUGAAGGGGGCUGUACAGUA
rnacentral:snoRNA from 1 species